UGCCUAGUACCAUAGGCGUGCGCAGCCCGUUGUGGCAGAGUAGGCCAAUAAUACUUGAAACAAAUUAUUUUAUGUGUUACAUAGUUAUCUAUAAAAUUACAUCCAUUCACUCACCGGUCAUCACCCACUGUUCAAAUUUUAAGAGAAGAGAUGAUAAGCUUAAUAUGUGACAUAGCCUGCGAUGCCAUGUAGUAUUGCCUCAGCAUGUGGCACAACCAGACUUUUGGGGGCUCUAAAGUCAAAUAUAAAAUGGGGCCCCCUAGCAAAAAAUGUAAAUGGUCUUAAACAAUUAAGGGUACAUGGUAUACCGCUUCCUCCCCACCUAUAAGGUUGGCUCGAAAAUGCAUGACCAAUUUGGCUGAUUCUUUUUAUGAUGUGUUCGCAAUUAAUAAAGGUUAAUAUGAAAAUUUAA